rnacentral:rRNA from 1 species
AGCUUUUCAGUAGUUUACUACAGAAAAUGACUGAGCGGCGAACGGGUGAGUAACGCGUGAGCAACCUACCUUAGUUACUGGGAUAGCCCGAGGAAACUCGGAUUAAUACCGGAUAUUCUUAUUUAAUCACAUGAUUUUUUAAGGAAAGGUCAGCCGAACUAAGAUGGGCUCGCGUUCUAUCAGCUAGUUGGUAGGGUAAUGGCCUACCAAGGCUACGACGGAUAGCUGGUCUGAGAGGACGAUCAGCCACACUGGGACUGAGACACGGCCCAGACUCCUACGGGAGGCUGCAGCAGGGAAUAUUGCGCAAUGAGCGAAAGCUUGACGCAGCGACACCGCGUGUGGGAUGACGGAUCUAGGUUUGUAAACCACUUUCAGGAGGGAAGAAAAUGACGGUACCUCCACAAGAAGCCCCGGCCAACUACGUGCCAGCAGCCGCGGUAAUACGUAGGGGGCGAGCGUUGUCCGGAUUUAUUGGGCGUAAAGAGCUCGUAGGCGGUUCAACAAGUCGGUCGUGAAAGUUCAGGGCUCAACCCUGAAAUGUCGAUCGAUACUGUUGUGACUAGGAUACGGUAGAGGUGAGUGGAAUUCCGAGUGUAGCGGUGAAAUGCGUAGAUAUUCGGAGGAACACCAAUUGCGAAGGCAGCUCACUGGGCCGCUAUCGACGCUGAGGAGCGAAAGCUAGGGGAGCAAACAGGAUUAGAUACCCUGGUAGUCCUAGCUGUAAACGAUGGAUACUAGACGUAGGAAUUGGUUUAACGAUUUCUGUGUCGUAGCUAACGCGUUAAGUAUCCCGCCUGGGGAGUACGGUCGCAAGACUAAAACUCAAAGGAAUUGACGGGACCCCGCACAAGCGGCGGAGCAUGCGGCUUAAUUCGAUGA